AAUAUUGGACAAUGGGGGCAACCCUGAUCCAGCCAUGCCGCGUGUGUGAAGAAGGUCUUCGGAUUGUAAAGCACUUUAAGUUGGGAGGAAGGGAAGUAAGUUACUACCUUGCUGUUUUGACGUUACCGACAGAAUAAGCACCGGCUCACUUCGUGCCAGCAGCCGCGGUAAUACGAAGGGUGCAAGCGUUAAUCGGAAUUACUGGGCGUAAAGCGGGCGUUGGUGGUUUGUUAAGUUGGAAGUGAAAGCCCUGGGCUCAACCUGGGAACUGCUUUCAAAACUGGCAAGCUAGAGUACGGUAGAGGGUAGUGGAAUUUCCUGUGUAGCGGUGAAAUGCGUAGAUAUAGGAAGGAACACCAGUGGCGAAGGCGACUACCUGGACUGAUACUGACACUGAGGUGCGAAAGCGUGGGGAGCAAAC
rnacentral:rRNA from 1 species